rnacentral:sRNA from 1 species
UAGCAUGUAUGGGUUGUUUCGCGGUGUU